UACGUAGGGGGCUAGCGUUGUCCGGAAUUAUUGGGCGUAAAGAGCUCGUAGGCGGCUUGUCACGUCGGGUGUGAAAGCCCGGGGCUUAACCCCGGGUCUGCAUUCGAUACGGGCUAGCUAGAGUGUGGUAGGGGAGAUCGGAAUUCCUGGUGUAGCGGUGAGAUGCGCAGAUAUCAGGAGGAACACCGGUGGCGAAGGCGGAUCUCUGGGCCAUUACUGACGCUGAGGAGCGAAAGCGUGGGGAGCGAACAGG
rnacentral:rRNA from 1 species